AUCAACCUCCUAAAUCCAAUGGUAUUGACAAAGUUAAGGUCCAAUUCAACCAAGACCAAGACCAAAUAGAAGUAAGGUCAACAUAAAGUCAAUACAAAAGCUCACCAAAUCAUUAAAUCAAUUAAAAUAUUUUAAAAACAUUUUUAAGAAUGAAGAAAAAUAAGUUUUCAAAGAUAAAAAAUCUGAAACCCCUUCAAAACACCAAAGAAAUGGUUAAGGGAUUUAUCAUAGGUCAAGUACGGUCAAAGGACCAUUGACUAAUUUUUUUGGUAUUUUUCAA
rnacentral:lncRNA from 1 species